rnacentral:rRNA from 1 species
GCAUAUGUAGUCAUACGCUCGUCUCAAAGAUUAAGCCAUGCAUGUGUAAGUGUAAAUUGUUAAGUUUGGAACUGCGAAUGGCUCAUUAUAUCAGUUAUAGUUUAUUUGGUGAAGUGUACUACUUGGAUAACCGUAGUAAUUCUAGGGCUAAUACAUGAGAAAGUCCUCUGGUGAGGUGUGUUUAUUAGAAUGAAAACCAUAUGCUUCGGCAUGAUAGUGAGUAAUAGUAACCUAUCGUAUCGCAUGCUUAAUGUAGCGAUGAGUCUUCAAG